AACCAUUCUCACCUGCGGCUAGACCUGCGGAAGGAUCAUUACCUAGAGUUGUAGGCUUUGCCUGCUAUCUCUUACCCAUGUCUUUUGAGUACCUUACGUUUCCUCGGCGGGUUCGCCCGCCGGUUGGACAAAACUUAAACCCUUUGUAGUUGCAAUCAGCGUCUGAAAAAACUUAAUAGUUACAACUUUCAGCAAUGGAUCU
rnacentral:misc_RNA from 1 species